GAUGAACGCUGGCGGCGUGCCUAAUACAUGCAAGUCGAGCGAACGGACGAGAAGCUUGCUUCUCUGAUGUUAGCGGCGGACGGGUGAGUAACACGUGGAUAACCUACCUAUAAGACUGGGAUAACUUCGGGAAACCGGAGCUAAUACCGGAUAAUAUUUUGAACCGCAUGGUUCAAAAGUAAAAGACGGUCUUGCUGUCACUUAUAGAUGGAUCCGCGCUGCAUUAGCUAGUUGGUAAGGUAACGGCUUACCAAGGCAACGAUGCAUAGCCGACCUGAGAGGGUGAUCGGCCACACUGGAACUGAGACACGGUCCAGACUCCUACGGGAGGCAGCAGUAGGGAAUCUUCCGCAAUGGGCGCAAGCCUGACGGAGCAACGCCGCGUGAGUGAUGAAGGUCUUCGGAUCGUAAAACUCUGUUAUUAGGGAAGAACAUAUGUGUAAGUAACUGUGCACAUCUUGACGGUACCUAAUCAGAAAGCCACGGCUAACUACGUG
rnacentral:rRNA from 1 species